rnacentral:sRNA from 1 species
GUUUGCACUUGUCGGGGAAGGGUGAGAACCUUCGAUUAAGGUUCGACUCGAGCGAAAGCGAGAGAACGUUGCCAACGGCAACGGCCCGUAGGGUGACGAGCGAAGCGACGAAUAAUCCUUCCCCCACCACCA